rnacentral:lncRNA from 1 species
GCUGAACCGAAUACUUGAACUAGCAGGAGUGGCUGGGAUUGCAUUGGAGUGGUUCCGUUCAUUCCUUCCGGAGCACGUAUUUUGGGGGCCUCAUUGGAAAUAUCUUUGUGCUUGCUGGAGGGGGAACAGUUAUAAAGAGCUGAAGAGCCACCU